rnacentral:rRNA from 1 species
UACGAAGGGGGCUAGCGUUGCUCGGAAUCACUGGGCGUAAAGCGCACGUAGGCGGAUUGUUAAGUCAGGGGUGAAAUCCUGGAGCUCAACUCCAGAACUGCCUUUGAUACUGGCGAUCUCGAGUCCGGGAGAGGCGAGUGGAACUGCGAGUGUAGAGGUGAAAUUCGUAGAUAUUCGCAAGAACACCAGUGGCGAAGGCGGCUCACUGGCCCGGUACUGACGCUGAGGUGCGAAAGCGUGGGGAUCAAACAGG